rnacentral:rRNA from 1 species
CAAUGGCACUGCCCGGUAGCUAAAUGCGGAAGAGAUAAGUGCUGAAAGCAUCUAAGCACGAAACUUGCCCCGAGAUGAGUUCUCCCUGACUCCUUGAGAGUCCUGAAGGAACGUUGAAGACGACGACGUUGAUAGGCCGGGUGUGUAAGCGCAGCGAUGCGUUGAGCUAACCGGUACUAAUGAACCGUGAGGCUUAACCUUACAACGCCGAAG